CCUACGGGAGGCAGCAGUGAGGAAUAUUGGUCAAUGGGCGGGAGCCUGAACCAGCCAAGCCGCGUGAGGGAAGAAGGUACAGCGUAUCGUAAACCUCUUUUGUCAGGGAACAAAGGCGGGGACUAGUCCCCGGAUGAGGGUACCUGAAGAAAAAGCAUCGGCUAACUCCGUGCCAGCAGCCGCGGUAAUACGGAGGAUGCGAGCGUUAUCCGGAUUUAUUGGGGUUAAAGGGUGGGCAGGCGGUCUGUUAAGUCAGCGGUCAAAGCCCGGGGCUCAACCCCGGCCCGCCGUUGAAACUGGCAGUCUCGAGUUGGAGAGAAGUAUGCGGAAUGCGCGGUGUAGCGGUGAAAUGCAUAGAUAUCGCGCAGAACUCCGAUUGCGAAGGCAGCAUGCCGGCUCCACACUGACGCUGAGGCACGAAAGCGUGGGUAUCGAACAGGAUUAGAUACCCGUGUAGUC
rnacentral:rRNA from 1 species